GACGAACGCUGGCGGCGUGCUUAACACAUGCAAGUCGAACGGAAAGGCCCUGCUUUUGUGGGGUGCUCGAGUGGCGAACGGGUGAGCAACACGUGAGUAACCUGCCCUUGACUUUGGGAUAACUUCAGGAAACUGGGGCUAAUACCGGAUAGGAGCUCCUGCUGCAUGGUGGGGGUUGGAAAGUUUCGGCGGUUGGGGAUGGACUCGCGGCUUAUCAGCUUGUUGGUGGGGUAGUGGCUUACCAAGGCUUUGACGGGUAGCCGGCCUGAGAGGGUGACCGGCCACAUUGGGACUGAGAUACGGCCCAGACUCCUACGGGAGGCAGCAGUGGGGAAUAUUGCACAUUGGGCGGAAGCCUGAUGCAGCAACGCCGCGUGCGGGAUGACGGCCUUCGGGUUGUAAACCGCUUUCGCCUGUGACGAAGCGUGAGUGACGGUAAUGGGUAAAGAAGCACCGGCUAACUACGUG
rnacentral:rRNA from 1 species